rnacentral:tRNA from 1 species
GGUUUGUGGCCCAGUGGUAGAGUGCUCGCCUAGCAUGCAUGGGGCACUGGGUUCGAUCCUCAGCACCA